rnacentral:rRNA from 1 species
UACGUAGGGUCCGAGCGUUGUCCGGAAUUAUUGGGCGUAAAGAGCUCGUAGGCGGUUUGUCGCGUCGAAUGUGAAACCCGGGGCUCAACUCCGGGCCUGCAUUCGAUACGGGCAGACUAGAGUUCGGUAGGGGAGACUGGAAUUCCUGGUGUAGCGGUGAAAUGCGCAGAUAUCAGGAGGAACACCGGUGGCGAAGGCGGAUCUCUGGGC